UGCGGGGCUGUCGGGGCCCGCUGUCCCUUGUCGCUGUCCCUCGAAAGCUCUCCUCAGUCCCCGUGUUAGUUCGGCCCUGACCGCGCUUUUGCUGUGUUCUGUGGUGCUGUUGUACCUGGAGUUCUCUCCAAUGGUUCCCUUGCGAAGAAUCCUGCAGGAAAGACACACAGAUGAGCAGACUGCGGGUGAUACAGUGGUCUCCUCUUCAGAGGAUACACUGAAUUUCUAUUUGAUCCUGCUGGCUGACAACCCGGGUUGUUUUCUAACAUGACUGGGAAACUUGUCAACAUCAAAGUAGGUUUAAAAUGCGUUCAUCUUUCAUGGGCCUUUCACCAGACUGGGACUUUCUUUUCUUUUCUUCUUGCCUGCAAAAUCAAAAAGAAGCAAUGAGAAGGCAAAAUAAUAUCAUUCCACAGAAUAAAUCCAUCUGAGCAUAUAUUACCUUGAUAAUAAGGAAUUUGCUCUUGCUUAUGGGAACCAGCUAGACUCAAAACAGAUGUAAAUCAUAUAACUUGCAUGUGGUAUUUGCAACUUGCCUCUCGUUGUUUACACCAUAGCAUUACUAAACCAUAUAGAAUAAUUUUUUCCCACAGGAUGCCAUGAUGACAAUAUCUGAAGUACUUCAAGCUUGACAUGAUAUUCUUCAGAAAAAAACGUGCAGAACCUGAGAUAAUACUGCAGCACUUUGCUUGUGAAAGCUAUGGAGUUUUCCUUAUAUGGUCAUUAGUAUUCAUCCUGAUCACUGUAUUCCUUGGCAAAUGAAAGAUAUUCUUUUCUGUGUAAUCCCAAUGCCCAGACACAGAAUCUCUGGGAUGGUGAUGUAUUAAUUAAGGUUAGUUGCUCUA